CUUUAUCACGUUUUGUUUUUUUAUUUUUGGUAAUGUCUUGUCAUUGAUUCUCUUCAAAUUUGAAAGAAGUGGUGAUCAAUUGCGAAUCCUUCGUCGUGUUCAUAUGAAUAGUGAGAUGAACGAUUGGUUUUUAUAUCGGAUGCACGGCUACAGUUUUGACAUAACCAAGUUCGCUCGGAGCUGAUUUCAUCGCCGGAAUUUUUUUCAAGUCGGCACAUUAUAUCUUGUGUGUGUGUUUCUUCUCGCAAGAGCAGCGAACGCUAUUAUCCCCAAGUACUACACGGUUCUUCUGGGCUGUGAUUAUGGCGGUCAGAUUGUCUGCUGACCCCGAAGAAUGCAGGCCCACUUAACAACGCAAAUCACUGCGUUCCGUCAUAAUUUACAAAUGGUUCAUAUUUCAACAUUGUAUGAGGGAAUUGUCUUCCACUAACAGGAGAAUUCAAUAAUAAAUUAAUCAUUUACACUUA